GAUGAACGCUGGCGGCGUGCCUAAUACAUGCAAGUCGAGCGAACGGACGAGAAGCUUGCUUCUCUGAUGUUAGCGGCGGACGGGUGAGUAACACGUGGAUAACCUACCUAUAAGACUGGGAUAACUUCGGGAAACCGGAGCUAAUACCGGAUAAUAUUUUGAACCGCAUGGUUCAAAAGUGAAAGACGGUCUUGCUGUCACUUAUAGAUGGAUCCGUGCUGCAUUAGCUAGUUGGUAAGGUAACGGCUUACCAAGGCAACGAUGCAUAGCCGACCUGAGAGGGUGAUCGGCCACACUGGAACUGAGACACGGUCCAGACUCCUACGGGAGGCAGCAGUAGCGAAUCUUCCGCAAUGGGCGAAAGCCUGACGGAGCAACGCCGCGUGAGUGAUGAAGGUCUUCGGAUCGUAAAACUCUGUUAUUAGGGAAGAACAUAUGUGUAAGUAACUGUGCACAUCUUGACGGUACCUAAUCAGAAAGCCACGGCUAACUACGUG
rnacentral:rRNA from 1 species